CCUACGGGGCGCAGCAGUGGGGAAUAUUGGACAAUGGGCGAAAGCCUGAUCCAGCCAUGCCGCGUGUGUGAAGAAGGCCUUCGGGUUGUAAAGCACUUUCAGUGGGGAAGAAAGCCUUGGGGCUAAUACCCUCGAGGAAGGACAUCACCCACAGAAGAAGCACCGGCUAAUCCGUGCCAGCAGCCGCGGUAAUACGGAGGGUGCGAGCGUUAAUCGGAAUUACUGGGCGUAAAGCGCGCGUAGGCGGUCUGAUAAGCCGGUUGUGAAAGCCCCGGGCUCAACCUGGGAACGGCAUCCGGAACUGUCAGGCUAGAGUGCAGGAGAGGAAGGUAGAAUUCCCGGUGUAGCGGUGAAAUGCGUAGAGAUCGGGAGGAAUACCAGUGGCGAAGGCGGCCUUCUGGACUGACACUGACGCUGAGGUGCGAAAGCGUGGGUAGCAAACAGGAUUAGAUACCCGGUAGUC
rnacentral:rRNA from 1 species